CGUCCAAACGAUAGUUUGAGAGUUUUUCCUUUUUGUUGAAAUGAGACAAAAAACCUCUUGGAAGGACAUCUCAUGGAGCUGUCUCUGUUUAUACGCUAGUUCCUAUAUAAGCUACCUAAAAGUGCGUUUUAAAGCUCCUAUAAAAACGUCUAUCAAACCACGAGAGUACCAAUAAAACAUCACUAAAAGGAAGACAAGUAAUGAACCAUUGGUAGAUGCCGUCGAGUCGAUAACAGGUCGACGACUGGAACCACUCACUAACUACCACGUACAAAAAGAUAAUCAAAGAGAGAUACGGUUACAGACUUAAAAUAGAACGGCAAAACGUAAAGAGGUCCGGAAAGUUAGAGUGACACUAAGGGGCUCUACGCGAUAAUCAUCCGUAGGUGAAGCAUUAUUUUUAAACCGUCAGUUGAACUUUGCUCAGUAAAUAGAUCGAUGUCGUUGGAAGGAACGAAAACGUUUAUUAUGACAUACCAACUGUGAUAUCAGAUAUGGACGGUUUAUAAAUGUGCAAUCAUAUCGGUCUUUCAGUCUACUAGCAAGGUACAACCAAUCGACACUAUUUAGUUUAAAGAUCUCAUCGUCUACUAAGCACAGUCCAAAGAAAAUCUCUAACUUUAUACAGAACUGAGACUUUAAUCAUCAUGUCGCAGGUCAAAAGGUAUCCACUUUCGUAUGAUACGUUUUGACCUGCCGGAAGAUUUCGAGACUUUGAUGAUAAACAACACAUUAGACAUAGGGGAAAAGUAUGAAACAUAUACGAAAGAUGAAUGAUCCUUUUUUACGCACUCUUGCUACCGGAUCUCCUACACUUAACGUGAGUUUAUAUACGUCCAAAGAACGGUUUGAUUGACGGUGAUAACAUAAAGUCCACGAAGAAGACAUUGAAUCACAUAAAACGACCGAGCAGAGUAAAGGACCGCUUGAAAAAUCAUACAUGUCAACUUAGUAACCUUCAACAAAAGAUGAUAGCUAUCUCCAAAAUAGGUUUGAUAAUCGACGGACUGAACGAAAAAACUUUAUGUGGUUGGACUAUCUGGUUCACCUGGUUGUGUAAAGGUACCCUAAAAUCUUUUUAUAUAUAAGCUUAAACGUAUGUAAAAGAUUUAAAGAUAGAAAAGAAUAGGUACGAAGGGGUAUCUAUAUAUCGUCCGAGUUGUUUUUAUAUACAGGCGAAUACAAGUUUAAAGUUCCUUCACACGAAGUGUGAAGAGAAAGACGUUAUACAAAGUCUCAUAUACUAAAUUAAAAGGAUGAAAAGGUCAAUUUUAUGACACAUGAAGUAAGAAUCGAAACGAAAUCCUUUUUAUCCAUACGUCCAAUAGCUUUCGAGGUAAAAAGUGGUAAUAUAUCUAAUAUAUCGAAACACCAGCUUCCAUCCAACAGUGUAUACCCUACAACGAACACUUUCAAUAUAUGUCGGUACUCAGGGACUGUUUUAUUAGCGUCGAGUAUAAUAAUCCUAGUCCCUUGGAGCUGGUAAAAAGACUUUGUACAGCGUCGAGUACAAGGAUGAAAGGGUCGAUGUCAUACAUGAAGUAAGAAUGGAAACGAAAACCUUCAAUGUAACGAAAGAAAAGGGAGUAUUUGAACGAUUUCUAUAACCGCUUCAUUAGGGGUGAAGUCUAAAGGGUAACUUACUUAUUGAUUAAAUCAAACAAGUUUUUAACAUCCAGUUCUCGGUACUUAUCCUCGUUCCGUAGUGUGAGGUCGAGACUCUUCUUUUCCUAUACUUCUGUUUCUAUAGUCACAAGACGAGGCUCCGUUUUUGUAAAACGCACAUUAUUACUUGACAUUAAAUGGUGUUAGAGAUUUUGUCCGGAUGGAUGAA
rnacentral:rRNA from 1 species